rnacentral:rRNA from 1 species
UUUCCCUCAGGAUAGCUGGCACUCGCUUGAGCGAGUCUCAUCUGGUAAAGCGAAUGAUUAGAGGCCUUGGGGCCGAAACGACCUCAACCUAUUCUCAAACUUUAAAUGGGUGAGAUCUCUGGCUUGCUUGAACGUUGAAGCCGCGAGAUAUUCUUUGCAAUGGAUCAGAGUGCCAAGUGGGCCAAUUUUGGUAAGCAGAACUGGCGCUGUGGGA